AACUCAUCCGAUAUAAAUAUAUUAAUUAAGCUAGGAGCCGGAAAAUCGAACGGCAAUGGUUUCUGUUGGAACAGCGAAAAUCAGUAAUAACAGUAGCAUCUGUCAUAUAUCCGUAGAUUGAAAUAUCUGUAUACGUCAUCUCAUCAAUUAGCCAAUAGGAUCGGCGGAUAUAGCCGACUAAUCAGAAAACUCCACAUGAACGAAGACGCGUGAAAGUCCGUGUAGGUUUAGGAAAGAGUAGAAGUAAAGAUAUUUGUCGGAUCGAAAAGUAAACAACGUUUUCUUUAAUAUCACCGAUAAAGAUUGCGCACUGUUGAGUUAUUUAUAGUAAAGUUUAUAUUUUUACUAAAACUUAAUAUAUUGUGUAAAUAAGAAUAAAAGUAUGGAAUUGGCUCAUACGAAGAGUUGGAAAGAAAUUACCGAGUAUUAUGGAACAGAUAUAGAAAGAGGAUUAUCAGAAGAACAAGUUCGGAAAUAUCAAGAGAAAUAUGGUCCAAAUGAAUUACCAGCCGAAGAGGGUAAGUUAAUUUCUUGUACAGUAUAUAAUAAUUUUAUUCAUAAAAGUAUUAGUAAAGAAUAUUCUAACAAAAAUUUUUCUAACUAUAAAAUAUCAUAUAUUAAAAAUAUUAAUAACU